AUACGGAGGGUGCGAGCGUUAAUCGGAAUUACUGGGCGUAAAGCGCGCGUAGGCGGCUUUGUAAGUCGGAUGUGAAAGCCCUGGGCUUAACCUGGGAAUGGCAUUCGAUACUGCAGAGCUAGAGUAUGGUAGAGGGAAGUGGAAUUUCCGGUGUAGCGGUGAAAUGCGUAGAUAUCGGAAGGAACACCAGUGGCGAAGGCGACUUCCUGGGCCAAUACUGACGCUGAGGUGCGAAAGCGUGGGGAGCAAACAGGAUUAGAUACCCCAGUAGUCC
rnacentral:rRNA from 1 species